rnacentral:rRNA from 1 species
UACGUAGGUGGCAAGCGUUAUCCGGAAUUAUUGGGCGUAAAGAGCGCGCAGGUGGUUGAUUAAGUCUGAUGUGAAAGCCCACGGCUUAACCGUGGAGGGUCAUUGGAAACUGGUCGACUUGAGUGCAGAAGAGGGAAGUGGAAUUCCAUGUGUAGCGGUGAAAUGCGUAGAGAUAUGGGGGAACACCAGUGGCGAAGGCGGCUUCCUGGUCUGUAACUGACGCUGAGGCUCGAAAGCGUGGGGAGCAAACAGGAUUAGAUACCCG